UUCUGUUUCAAUCCGCCAUCAGCUCGCUGGAAAUAUGUUGAGUUUUACCUUUUAUUCAUUUCUCACAGCUGCAGCUCUCUUACCCGGUGUUAGUGGUGCAGACUCGGUCUCACAGAGACCAGAUGCAGCGAUACAGUUUGAAGGGGACUCGGUGACCAUUCAUUACAGGUAUCCCACCACAGCUGGUACAUAUUCCUUACAGCUGUACCGUCAGGACAGGGUUAAAGCCCCCACAUUCUUGAUCUACAUCCUGAAUUACGGAAAUAUUUUCAGAGCAGAGGGCGUGGGGGCUCGAUUUUCUGCAUCUCUCGACACAUCGAAAAGUGAGGGGAAUUUCACCAUCCGUGACCUGCGGCUGUCUGACAGCGCGGUGUAUCACUGCGGGUUGAGAGUCACACUGACAGGAACCUGA